CCAGAUCUCUCAUUUUCCUCACUCCUCCUUUCUCUCUUAUAUGCUUCAUCUUCUUCUAACAAGCCGGUCAGUUAACACCAUUUUGUCGUAUGCGUUGUCUUGCUAUAUCUUUCGAUAAUGAUAAGAAGAAUGGAGAAA
ensembl:ncRNA B0393.13 ncRNA